UCCCGGAUCGUCUAAAGGCAGGACGUCUGGUUUUGGUCCAGAUAAUCGGGGUUCGAAUCCCUGUCCGGGAACCA
rnacentral:tRNA from 2 species